rnacentral:lncRNA from 1 species
UUCUGUGUUGUCUGCACCUUGAGCUAGCAACUCCCAGGGACAUGGGUCACUCUGGGUGCUGUCUGUAUGAAAAUGUCAUGGUCUUUUUGUGGGAGAAAAUUCUUCUAUUUCUAUUUCAUGGUAGCUCUCUGGAAGGAUGCACAGACCAAAAUAGCCUGUAGCAAAUGGCAUUAUAUGAAGCAGGACUGGACUGUGAAGGCAUCAAGCUAAAUGGAUCUACUAGGUUGGAGUGGGUUCAUUUUAUUUUUUACAAUGUUUUUGUUUUUAUGGCCAUGGUGUGCAGCAGCUUGAUGUGGGCUCUCAGUUCCCAGAUCAGAGAUUGAACUCAGGCUUCAACUGAACCACUAGAUCACCAGGGAACUCCUGGAGUUGAUUCAUUUUAAAUGCAAAGGACGUGGAGUUCCCGUCAUGGCUCAGUGGAAAUGAAUCCAACUAGUACCCCUGAAGAUGCAGGGAUUGAACCCGAAUCCUCAUGGAUCAUAGUCAGGUUCAUUAUCGCUGAGCCACAAUGGGAACUCCUGCUCUAGUGUCUUGAAUGUCCACUGUCAAAUUUAGAACUAGCAUACAUCUCUCCUGAGCUUGUUUGUCUCUGAAAAUUCUAAUGUUUGAAACUCUGCAAAUGUAGGUACUUUGUAUUGGAUUGCAUUAAGCUUGAUAAGAGGUUAACAUUUGCAGUCUAGGGCUUGGGCUAAAGAGAGCUUCACUAUUGAUCUGGGAAUAGUCUUGAAGACAGUGAGCAUUGCUAGGCUAUUUCCAUUGGUCUUUAUUUUAGGGAUUUAGGGCAGCACACUGUGCAGAGUGUGUCAGGGAACUUUUGCACACUCUCUCACCCUCCAGUGGACUGUAAGAGGUUCUUCCAGGCUCUGUAAGCUGUGUGUAGAGACUUUUGCUGUUACCAUCUGCAGUGUGGUGCAAAUGAGUUACGUAAGAGAAUUACAUUCUCCCGGCAAAGGUGUCAGCCCCACUGUUAUUGCCAACAGAGGCAUUAGUGUGCGCCUUUAAUGGGAUGCAGUUAUAUUUUCCACAAUAAGGCUAAUCUUUCAGCCUCUUCAUUGUGAGAUGAGACUGGAAGCUCUCUUUAUGGACAGGGGUAAGAUGGUGCAACUAAAAGGCCAUUAUGCCCUGAUUAUAAACCAUAUUUCAAAAUUAUUGCUACAUACAGUGUUAACAGGACUCCAGUGCUGCUGGGAAGAUAAUCCAGAGUAUAUCCAUUUUGGAAUUCCCCUUGUGGUUCAGUGGGUUCAGAACUCAGCUAACAUCUAUGAGGGUGCAGGUUUGAUCCCUAGCCCCGCUCAGUGAGUUAAGGAUCCCGAGUUGCUCUGAGGUGUGGUGUAGGCCGGCAGCUGCCAGCUUUGAUUUGACCCCUAGCCUGGGAACUUACAUAUGGCGUGAGUGUGGCCCUAAAAAGAUAAAUAAAUAAUGAAAUAGUAUGUCUCUCCCUCUCAAAAAGACCAAAAAAAAAAAAAAA